rnacentral:rRNA from 1 species
GACGAACGCUGGCGGCGUGCUUAACACAUGCAAGUCGAACGGUGAAAGGGAGCUUGCUCCCUGGAUCAGUGGCGAACGGGUGAGUAACACGUGGGCAACCUGCCCCAGACUUCGGGAUAACGCUUCGAAAGAGGUGCUAAUACCGGAUACGAACUCCUUGGGCAUCCUUGGAGUUGGAAAGUUUUUCGGUCUGGGAUGGGCCCGCGGCCUAUCAGCUUGUUGGUGAGGUAACGGCUCACCAAGGCGACGACGGGUAGCCGGCCUGAGAGGGCGACCGGCCACACUGGGACUGAGACACGGCCCAGACGCCUACGGGAGGCAGCAGUGGGGAAUAUUGCGCAAGGGGCGAAAGCCUGACGCAGCAGCGCCGCGUGAGGGAUGACGGCCUUCGGGUUGUAAACCUCUUUCAGCAGGGAAGAAGCGAAAGUGACGGUACCUGCAGAAGAAGCACCGGCUAACUACGUGCCAGCAGCCGCAGUAA